GCUCAGUAACACGUGGAUAACCUGCCCUUGGGUCCGGCAUAACCCCGAGAAACUGGGGAUAAUUCCGGAUAACGCACAUAUGCUGGAAUGCUUUAUGCGUAAAAUGGAUUCGUCUGCCCAAGGAUGGGUCUGCGGCCUAUCAGGUAGUAGUGGGUGUAAUGUACCUACUAGCCUACAACGGGUACGGGUUGUGAGAGCAAGAGCCCGGAGAUGGAUUCUGAGACAUGAAUCCAGGCCCUACGGGGCGCAGCAGGCGCGAAAACUUUACAAUGCGGGAAACCGUGAUAAGGGGACACCGAGUGCCAGCAUCAUAUGCUGGCUGUCCAGAUGUGUAAAAUACAUCUGUUAGCAAGGGCCGGGCAAGACCGGUGCCAGCCGCCGCGGUAACACCGGCGGCCCGAGUGGUGAUCGUGAUUAUUGGGUCUAAAGGGUCCGUAGCCGGUUUGGUCAGUCCUCCGGGAAAUCUGAUGGCUCAACCAUUAGGCUUUCGGGGGAUACUGCCAGGCUUGGAACCGGGAGAGGUAAGAGGUACUACAGGGGUAGGAGUGAAAUCUUGUAAUCCCUGUGGGACCACCUGUGGCGAAGGCGUCUUACCAGAACGGGUUCGACGGUGAGGGACGAAAGCUGGGGGCACGAACCGGAUUAGAUACCCGGGUAGUCCCAGCCGUAAACGAUGCUCGCUAGGUGUCAGGCAUGGCGCGACCGUGUCUGGUGCCGCAGGGAAGCCGUGAAGCGAGCCACCUGGGAAGUACGGCCGCAAGGCUGAAACUUAAAGGAAUUGGCGGGGGAGCAC
rnacentral:rRNA from 1 species